GGCCGGUUGGCCCAAUGGCAAGGCGUCUGACUACGACUAAGUGUAUUAUCAGGAGAUUCUGGGUUCGACCCCCAGGCUGGUCA
rnacentral:tRNA from 1 species